GUCCCUACCAGUCACCAUCUCCACUGUAGUCUUCUACAUAAUCAGAAAUGAUAGACGAGAAGGACCACCAAUCAGUCUUCAGGCUAUUUUGGAGUCCAACCCACUGCCAGCAAUCAUCCAAAAAAUAGCGCCACCCAUCCUGCCGUGGCUGUCAGGAGGUCAUAGGCUGGACACACUGAUAAUCACACGCACCUAUGAGGAGCAGCUCUUAAUGGGCUUUCCUUUCAGCAGCAAAGGAAUCCUCUCCAGACACACUCCUCUGGUGCUGCCCAUGUAUAUAAAGGAGGUGCGUGUUGCACUGACAGAGGGGUUGGAGACAAGGUACACCGCAGCAUGAAAAAAAUAUUGUUACAUUACACGUUACAUCCCUUUGAUAUCACCGUUUUCAAUUAGAGUUGAUUGAAAACGUUCAUGAAUAAAUGGAGGGGAAGCCAAUCUACAUGUACAUGAGCCUGAAGAUCCAGGGUGAUGAAAUCAACGUCUACCAGCACCUUGUUUUUGAGACAACGAGCCUCCUACUUUACAGAGAAAAGUAGCAAGAUCCCCAUCUCUACCCCCUAAACCACAAUAUUUACAAAUAGCUAGACACAAACUUCCACCCCUUUCUCCAUCAUUGGAGAACAAUUCCCAGUUCUACUGUGGUGGCUCAUGGCACCCACUCUUCUGCUCCUUAGCAGAGGUGCCCUCUAAUCUACGGGUCCUGAGUGUGGCACUGGUAUGCUCCAGCCUGCGACUGCUCAACUUGGGCUAGUACUGCCAGGCCUUUGAGAGGGAGAAGAUUGAUGGGACGUGUUAAACACAGUGGAGCCCAGCAUGAUGAGGAAGACCCUGGGUAUGGAGUAUCUGCAUGUGGGCAAGCUGCUCUGCUUCCAACAUGGCUGGAGGCCCUUACUUGGGUCCUUUGGAGCUGAGCAGGUAGGGUAGUGACGGAUUACCUGUAAUGGGGAUAUGCAAUCAGAUUAUAAAAAUUACAGGGGCAAUCUGGGAACCAAAAAGCAAUAAAGCGGUCAUCCUGACACUUUUUUGGUAACCAGCUGCAAUUUUUGGUAGCCAGCUGAAUACAUAAAAGGACAUUUUAGAAACAUGUAUUGCAUAUUUAUGUUAGGCUAAGUACCAUUUACAUUAGUAAUGGUUGAAGUGUCAUUCAAAAUAAAGGCUACUUUUGGAGUAAUUCCUGCUGGGAAGCAAACAUUCAUCCACACAGCAUGAUAAAAAGCACAGGUU